AACCAGUAUUCAUCCUUGAAGAGAACACCUCUCCAACGUGCCAGACGCCAUCGAAUGUGAACAUUUGCCCACUCAAGUCUGUUACGGCGAUGAUCUGGAGUC